GACGAACGCUGGCGGCGUGCCUAAUACAUGCAAGUAGAACGCAGUUGCGAACGGGGGAGUAAAGCGGAGGAAACUGCACCAUAGAGGGGGAUAACAAGUGGAAACGAUAGCUAAUACGGCAGACGGUGAGAUGGAGCUGAGUUGUAUGAGCUAGUUGGGGAGGUAAAGGCUCACAAAGGCGACGAUACAUAGCCGACCUGGGAGGGUGAUCGGCCACACUGGGACUGAGACACGGCCCAGACUCCUACGGGAGGCAGCAGUAGGGAAUCUUCGGCAAUGGACGUAAGUCUGACCGAGCAACGCCGCGUGAGUGAUGAAGGGUUUCGGGUCGUAAAGCUCUGUUGUUAGAGACGCGGUAACUCACCAGAAAGCAACGGCUAACUACGUGCCAGCCGCCGCGGUAAUAC
rnacentral:rRNA from 1 species